rnacentral:rRNA from 1 species
AAUGAACGUUGGCGGCGUGGAUUAGGCAUGCAAGUCGAACGCCCCGCAAGGGGAGUGGCGCAAGGGUGAGUAAGGCGAUGGCAACCAACCCCGAGGUCGGGCAUAGCCGGGGGAAACCCCGGGUAAUUCCCGGCGACGCAACGAGCCGGCAUCGGUUUAUUGCCAAAGGCUUCGGCCGCCGCGGGACGGGCCGUCGUGGUAUUAGGUUGUUGGCGGGGUCACGGCCCACCAAGCCUGCGAUGCCUACCGGGUGUGAGAGCAUGGCCCGGCACACUGGGACUGAGACACUGCCCAGGCUCCUACGGGAGGCUGCAGUCGAGAAGCUUCGGCAACGGGCGCAAGCCUGACCGAGCGACUCCGCGUGGAGGACGAAGGCCUUCGGGUUGUAAACUCCUGUCGAGGGGGAGGAAGGCACGGCAACGUGCUUGACCGAUCCCUGGAGGAAGCACGGGCUAAGUUCGUGCCAGCCGCCGCGGUAAAAC